AGCUACGAGGCACGUUAGAGACCACCUCCUAAUUUUAAAUGCUCUUUUGAAUAUUCUAGUGAGAGAAGCUGCAGCCUGUUGAGACUCCACAAGAUGAAAGAUAUGAAAAGAGGACAUAUGCAUGAAUGCCUGCAUGGAGAACCACCCUUGCUGCUGCUCCCACUCUAAUGAUCAUGCCCAUUAUUAACUGAGGGAUGGCUGUGGGCCUUGUCUUUGCAUUACACGGACCAAGAACACUUCGCAGGACUCAGAGAGGCUGUGAUUACAGAAGCACAGGUGAAUGGGGAAAAGCAAAAGGAAUGGAGGAAAAAAAAAAUGGAGGAAAUACAUCCUGCGCUUUCUUCCCUGACCAGUCCAGCUUUCACCCAGGACUGUUCUUCAUGGGAUGCACGCCUCUUGCCACUGGCAUUCUUAGUAAGCAUUAA
rnacentral:lncRNA from 1 species